rnacentral:rRNA from 1 species
GUGUCAGCAGCCGCGGUAAAACGUAGGAGGCGAGCGUUAUCCGGAUUUACUGGGCGUAAAGCGCACGCAGGCGGCUUCGUUAGUCGGACGUGAAAGCUCCUGGCUUAACUGGGAGAGGCCGUUCGAUACUGCGGGGCUCGAGGUUGGAAGAGGGGUGCGGAAUUCCCGGUGUAGUGGUGGAAUGCGUAGAUAUCGGGAGGAACACCUGUGGCGAAAGCGGCACCCUGGUCCACACCUGACGCUGAGGUGCGAAAGCGUGGGGAGCAAACAGGAUUAGAAACCCCAGUAGUCC